UAUUUUUUCUUGCUUCCAGGUUGUGUUUUAUUCUGAUAUUUAACUGUCAUCCUCUCCACACACCCUCACUGAUGACUGGGAAUUAGAGAGGAGGCCCUUAAAUGGCAGCGAGGGGAAAAGUCGGCCGUGGGUUGAAAAACAAGCAAAAUAGCCUCAUGCUCAUUGGCCCAGUUCGAAGUCCAUUCCAGGCUGCACUACUUCCAGAAGCUCGGCAUGUCUACCUACCUACCACAGGACAAAAGAAGUCAUGGUCAUGGGCCCUGCUUCGCCAAACCAAAGACAGACACGUGUGAAGGGCCAGCGCCCAUGUUCGCCCGUCAGGCUGGCAGGAAGGGCGCCCGGUCCUGAGUGAGAUGGCUGCUGGCACUUGGGAAGCGACUGUAAGGAGCUUCUGCCUUCCCAGUGCGCCUUUAUACAGUAAAACGUGUCAAUUGUACGAGUAGGCUUCUAAUGCCCAGCCUCUCUGAAAACACAUUGGUUUCCUACCUUCGAGGUCAUUAUUUUCCACAAAAAGAAGCGGGGAAAAUAAAUAUUGACCUCUGGAUAAAAUAGCAAGUUACAUAAGUCUGGGAAAGUAAAUACUAUCUAGGUUGACACCAAAUCAUUAACCAGGGAGAUAGCUGAAACCUGCCAUCACCUAGCUGACAACUGUGACUUAAGCAGCUUCAACCUAUUAGCCCGAGAAGAAGGCUUAUUUGUGCCCCUUCCAUUUUCUUGCCCUUGCCUGUUUUGCUUAUUUAAGUUGGGGGUUACUGCAAGCAGUCUGCAAUUCUAAAGCCAUUGAUGAUGGUAUCAAUUACUUUAUUACAAUCCUACACUGGCAUCAAAAGAAACAAUGAUUCUGGCAUUGACUGAAGUUGGGAGCCACGUACCUAUUAUACAGCCAAACUGAGGUCACUUAAGAAGUACUGAAAAUUAAGGAGCUGUUUUCACAAAGGCACUUCACCUAGUAGCUUCAAGCAUGAAAAAGUUCCAGACGUGCUGUGCAAUUUCAGCCCAACAUUUACCACAUCUAGUAAAGCCUGAGCCUGGAAUCCAGAACAGGGCUGCUCCAAGGGCCCAGAAACCUUUGGAAUCGUAGAAGGAAUCUGACUGGGAGUCUGCAGACUGGAAGUUUCCUGAAAGUAAAAGAACCAUAAUGAGAUAUGCUACCCUGGUAUUGCCUCUUAAGUGAUGGCAAGGACGUGUUCUUGAGAAGACGAAACCUUUUUUGAGGGCUAAUAUUGCAUUACAUUUCACACAUGGAGUCAGUUGUGUAUUGCUGCCAUUAUUGUACAAUUUCGCCUCAGACCACAUUGCUUCUGCAGCCCCCUGCAUUCAGGCAGGGGCAGUGCAAGCAAAACAGUGAAUGGGCUUCUCCUUCCAGGCCAGUUGCUCUGACGCUCAACCUAAAGAAUGCUUUGGGUGCCACGCGCUAUGUAGACAUCUCUCCGUUAGUGGAGAAACGCUAAAAUCACAGAGGCCUGCUAUCAAGAUGUGGGGUGCCUCUUCCCUAUAACGUAAGAUAAUAGAGCUGCUGCACUUUGCUUUUCUGACAUUUUCCAAAAUCGUAACUUGUUAGUUUUAAACAGCAUGGACAAAACUAGGCCAUGGCAAUAAAAUGAUAGUUCUUUAUAUUUCCAGUUGAACCACAUAUGUAUUAAAGUUAAGGGGUUCUUUGUGUGUGUGUU